GAUGAACGCUGGCGGCGUGCCUAAUACAUGCAAGUCGAGCGAACAGACGAGGAGCUUGCUCCUCUGACGUUAGCGGCGGACGGGUGAGUAACACGUGGAUAACCUACCUAUAAGACUGGGAUAACUUCGGGAAACCGGAGCUAAUACCGGAUAAUAUAUUGAACCGCAUGGUUCAAUAGUGAAAGACGGUUUUGCUGUCACUUAUAGAUGGAUCCGCGCCGCAUUAGCUAGUUGGUAAGGUAACGGCUUACCAAGGCAACGAUGCGUAGCCGACCUGAGAGGGAGAUGGACCACACGAGAAAUGCGACUGGGGCCAGACUGGUAAGGGGGGGAGCGAUAGGUACCCUUCCGUAAUGGGCAAACGCUCUACGGGUGAAAGCAGUGUGAGUGAUGAAUGUUGUAUAAUAGUAAACCUCUGUUAAUGGACAAAAAUAAAUGUUUAAAAAACUAUCCACUACGUGACUGUACCUAAUCAGCACCACCCGGCGAACUACGAACCAGCCGCCGCGGGAAUAGCACACGUCUGAAC
rnacentral:rRNA from 1 species